rnacentral:rRNA from 1 species
UACGUAGGGGGCAAGCGUUGUCCGGAUUUAUUGGGCGUAAAGAGCGUGUAGGCGGCCUGACAGGUCUGCUGUGAAAACUCGAGGCUCAACCUCGAGAUGUCGGCGGAAACCGUCUGGCUAGAGUCCGGAAGGGGAGAGUGGAAUUCCUGGUGUAGCGGUGAAAUGCGCAGAUAUCAGGAGGAACACCGGUGGCGAAGGCGGAUCUCUGGGCCAUUACUGACGCUGAGGAGCGAAAGCGUGGGGAGCGAACAGG